CUGGCGGCGUGGAUAAGGCAUGCAAGUCAAGGGGGCUCUUCGGAGCAACCGGCAGACGAGGUAGUAACACGUAGGUACGUACCCCAAAGUCUGGCAUAGCCGGCCGAAAGGUCGGGUAAUUCCAGAUGGUCCCGCAAAUUUAUUUUUGUGGGUAAAGUUUUUUCGCUUUGGGAGCGGCCUGCGUCGUAUCAGCUUGUUGGUAAGGUAAUGGCUUACCAAGGCUAUGACGCGUAGGGGAGGUGAGAGCCUGACCCCCACCGAUGGAACUGCGACACGGUCCAUACUCCUACGGGAGGCUGCAGCCGAGAAUAUUCCGCAAUGGGCGAAAGCCUGACGGAGCGACGCCGCGUGAAGGAUGAAGGCCCUCGGGUCGUAAACUUCUUUUAUGAGGGAGGAAAUUUUGACGUUACCUCAUGAAUAAGGAGCUCCUAAUUCCGUGCCAGCAGGAGCGGUCAUACGGAAGCUUCAAGCGUUACCCGGAAUCACUGGGCGUAAAGGGUGUGUAGGUGGUUGUAUUAGUCUUCUGUUAAAGACUCGGGCUCAACCCGAGGAGUGCGGAGGAAACGGUACAACUAGAGGAUAUGAGAGGUGUGCGGAACUCAUGGUGUAGGGGUGAAAUCCGUUGAUAUCAUGGGGAACACCAAAGGCGAAGGCAGCAUCACUGGCAUAUUCCUGACACUGAGACACGAAAGC
rnacentral:rRNA from 1 species